rnacentral:sRNA from 1 species
CUAUACCAAUUGCUGGUGAAUCUGAAUCUUUGCAAGAAGAUAGAAAAGGUGGAGAGACUCUCAAAGUGCAUCUUGGAAUAGCAGGUAUGGAUGUGUGGCUUACUGGUUUUUUAAUUUCUGAGAGACUACUUGAUGCCCUAAAAAUUCCCAAAGCCCUUCCACAUUUAAAAUUGUGUGGGUAUUUGACUUGAAACAGGCCAAUAAGAAUCAGCAGUUUUAAUUUUGUAAUUCUUGGCUGAUCCAGUGCUUUAUUUUGUCUAAAGUAUUGUGCUCUGACAGAUUAAAAACUAGAUGUUACAAUGACACUCCCCUCACUGUAUGCAUCUACUCCCCACAGGUACAACAGGUACUACAGGAUUUUUUCCAUUUUUCCCAUUCCGUUACCCUGCAACUUCUGCCUCUCGGGUGUCGCUUCUCUUCCAUGGAUCGCUUUCCCUCUGUCAGUGGUUUUCAGGCCCUAAUGUGCAUCAGAGUCACCUGUAGGGCUUGUGAAACCACAGGUUGCUGGCGGCAGCAGCCAGAGUGUUUGAUUCAGUAGAUCUGGGUUAGAGCCUGAAGUUUUGUAUUACUAAGGCAUUCCCACAAGAUGCUGAUGCUGCUAGUCCCUGACCACACCUUGAGAUCCACAUUUCCAGACACACUUCUGGCAGCAGUCAGAAUCUGCUCCGGAAGUAAAAACAUGGUGGUGGGGAUAAUGUCAAGGUUGCAGGAGGAAAAGGACUUAGGAGCUUCCUUCUUUCGUCAGUAUUAUGUGAACAGGAUGUAUUGUUUGAAAGAAGGGAAAGGUGAAGUGAUAUAAUUAACCCUUUCACUACCUUUUAAAAUAUGCAAAUAUUUGGUUUCUUAUAAAUAAUGGUGACUGAAAUUUCCUGUUUUGGGAUCAGUGGAUCUUUUGGGAACUUGUAACCAUUCCAUUAGCUCCUUCUCUUCAGCAUGUAAAUAUUCUGAAUUCUUUCUCGUAUUGAACAAAUGAAAACAAAAACUCCUUAGCCCUACAUCCUUCUCUAUCUACUGCACUCCCUUAGGCUCCAGCAGGCUGGCGCAUGUGCUCAUAUGCUCUCUCUCUUCCCCCACUCCGCCCCAAAUGUAUAGAGAGACAUCUGUCUCUCUCUCUCUGUGUGUGUGUGUGUGUGUGUGUGUGUGUGUGUGUGUGUGGAGAGAGAGAGAGAAAGAGAUCAGCAAGAGAUGAUAUAUGUACCACACACUUCUUAUAGCGAAACUUCUAGAAAGAAUAUACUGUCCAUUUAUUCCUAAACACAUUAGCAAUCUGGCUUCCAUCAUCUGCCCUCUCUUGCUGCUAUCCCCAGAUACAUGAUUGUCAAGUCCUGUGGACAUUUGUUCUGGUCUUAUCUGAUGGCCAGUUAUUCAUUCUUGAUGCUUUCUCUUCCCUUGGCUCCUACCUCUCUGACCUUUCCUUUUCUAGCUUCUUAGAGGCUUCUUCAUCUUCCUCCAACUUCCCUUUACAUAUUGAUGUUCUACAAGAUUUGGUCCCCUCACUUCCUUGAGCAAUACCAUCUAUACCCUUGGCUUUAUCUAUCACAUAAAUGUAAAUGUGAUUGUGUGAUGUAAAUGUGAUCAAAUGCUUUGGGGAAAGGUCCACUUCAUACCAAAUGUAACACUGAAAUCCAUCUGUUUCUCUUUCUACCCAGCCAGAGUCUAACUAAGUUCUUCAUGAUCAGGUCUUAUUUAUCUCUGUAUCCCGAGCAGAAGGCCUGGGACACAGUAGAUGUUGAGUGACUGUUGAAUAGGCAUCCUCAGGUGUCUCUAAUUCCACAUAUCUAGCACAAGUCUUCCUACCUUUUCCUCCUGUCUUUUCUACCUCAGUUUUCCUGACACAAACUUCUGCUUUCUUAUUGAGUCCUGCUAUUUGUGCCUAUGAAACAUCUCUCACUCUCAGCUGGAUUAUGAAAACCUUCACUCUUAUGCCCCCUGUUUAUCCUGUUGCCAAAGUGUUCUUCCCAAAAUGUAGAUUCGAUCAUGUCACACCCUUUCUUAAAGCCACUGAACUGUUUUCUUCUUUAAACUCAUAGAAGGUUCUUCAUCAACAGCCAUCUACUCAUCUUUCUGGCCUCUUUUCCCUCAGUUAUUAUACUCCACUACCCUAUAUGCCAACUUUUCCAAAUGAUCUGCUUCCCUACAAAGAAGGCAUGCUCUUCCCAGUGCCUUUCCUUGCUCAUCUAGCUCAGGAGUUCCCAUACGUUGUUCAAGUCCUGGGGUUAACCUCCUCUGUGAGGUCUUUCCCCCAUUAUCAGGUUGUGUCAGAUACACUGUCCUUUGGAGCUCUUAAUAGGUGCUUUUUGGUGCUUGUAUUUUUGUACUUACCAUAUUGUAUAAGUUUUGCUUCCACCUCUAAACUCUAAGCAUGUAUUUUGUCUUAUUUAUUUUGUACUUCCUAUAUCUUGUACAGCAUUAGGCACCUGACUUGGUAAAAUAUUAAUAAAUAUUGAUUGAAUGAAUAAAUUUUGGAAACCAGAAGAUAUGUGGAUGACUUAAGAUCUGGGCCAAACCCAGAAGUAAAGAGCGCUGCAUAACUCGAUAUGAACCAACUUUUUGAGUUCAGAUUUUGCUGAAUGUUUGCGUUUGGAGCACUGUAGAGAUGCUUGGGCCACUUAUACUCUGUCCAGAAAUGAGAAGCCUUUGCAGAAGGACCAGGUUACUCCAGUAUUUUCCUUGUUUUGCAGCAUUUGUUGGUCCAACUACAUGCAGUAUCAUUUAUAGAAUAGCUGCUAUAAUAGCUAUGUUACUCAGUUGCUUUCCUUCUGCUUCUAAGUUAAAAACAGUUCUUGUUUCCAAAUAUGGUUGUGCCCUAGGGAAAAUGGUCACAGUUCUGCAUUCUCUGGAAGAAGCCUGGUUCUGAAAAUACAUGAUUGGCACCUGGAACAUACACAUGAUCAGAAACUAUUAGAAAUGGCUUUGACACUGCCUUUUGUACAUUUACUUUGAAUCUGAAUACUAUAAUCACUUUCUUAAGAACUUUUAUUCUCAGUGCUACAUCCCAUGCUGUGUUGAUUUAAGCCACAGACAUUGCCCAAAUUAUAGCCUAGCACUAACAACACUAACAUUAAAGUAAUAGAGUACUCUUUAGCUUGCUGUUGUGAUGGAUUUUUAAGGAAGCAGUAUUUCCUUAGAAACCACACUAAAACCUACCAAUUUUGUGAACAUUUAUAAGAAUACAUCUGAGUCAUUUUUAUUAGAGAAAUACUGAACACUAAAACUAUAGCAGUUUUAAGAUAGAGUGCUGUUAAAUGUUUUGAAAAACAGGAGUUUAUUGCACAGACUGAACUAAUAAAGGACCGAAAUAAUUUUUUUAAUGUUAUGAAAAAUAUAAUUCUUCAGCAAACUAAGGUAUUUAAAUACUUUGUAUAUCUUGCAAUACAGUUGUUUCCAUUGUACUGACUUAAAAGGAUGUCCCUCAUUUUGUAACUUAUUGUUUUGAUAAUGAACUUGGCGGAGUUUAUAAAGUCUGCAGAUUAGAAUACAAAUUGACCAUUAACUUUUUGGCAAUAAGAAUGACAUCAUGUUAUGACAUAUUACAGAUCUUUCAGCAAAGAGUGCCUCUGUUCCAGACGAACUUGGUGCCUGUGGACAUUCUAGAACAUCAAGCUAUGCAAGCCAGCAGUCAAAAGUAUCAGGUAGAGGCUAACAGUGAAGUUGAAUUCCUUAUUGUUCCAAAGGGACUUGAAACUUUUGUGAUGUGGGGGAACGAUGUCAGAUUGCAGAGUGUUUGAUAUGUGUAUUAUAUCCAAGGUGAUUUUCUCUGACAGGGUAUAGCACCUGUCACUCCCGGUCAUCUAGUUUCUCUGAGCUCUGCCACAGGAGAAAUACCUCAGUGGGAAGCACAUCAACAGGAGUUGAAAGUAUUCUAGAGCCAUGUGAUGAAAUUGAGCAGAAAAUUGCUGAGCCAAAUCUUGAUACAGCUGAUAAAGAAGAUACAGCUUCAGAAAAGCUCAGCAGAUGCCCAGUGAAACAAGAUUCUGUAGAAUCUCAGCUGAAGCGAGUUGAUGACACCAGGGUGGAUGCAGAUGACAUUGUAGAGAAAAUAUUACAAAGUCAAGACUUCAGCCUAGAUUCCAGUGCGGAAGAAGAAGGACUAAGGCUAUUUGUGGGUCCUGGGGGAAGUACAACCUUUGGCAGUCAUCAUCUUCCAAAUAGGGUGGGGUCUGGAGCUUAUGAACAAGUUGUGAUCAAACGCUAGAAGUCAAGUUGGUGAAAACAUUUCCUUGUGGAUUUAAGAUGUGAGUAGUUGAUGUAUCAAGGCAUUUUAUUCAGGCACUUAAUAGAAAAUGAACCUCAACUAUCAAGAGGAAAGCCAAUGCUGGUUUCUUCUCUGGAAGGACCCACCGCCAUCCUGUACCAGCCACCAAAGGGGAACAUCUGCAUGGCAGUCUCCAGGCACUGUGCCACUGUGUGCCUUGGAAGCACCUGGCUUCUGUGGUCACUGCACAUCAUAAUGAAAAGCCUGCUUUUUCUUUCAGAACACCCCAGUGGAGAAAACAGCAUUAUAUACAUCGGAGUAUCAUUUUAGGAUUCAAGUGUAAAAAUCUGUGAUCAAGAGGCUCAAUAGAUUUGAGCUCUAUGGUUUGGUUUUUUUAGUUUGAGAGACAGUACAUGAAUAUAACUUAAACCCUAUAGAUUUUGUCAAGAUAGUUAUAAUUCCUGUUCUGGAAAUCUUCCCUAUUACACUACCUACAGCAUUGUAUAAAGUGUGGGUGUUCAUGCUUUGGGAAAAUGUUAGACUACAAUUUAAACAUGUGAUGUGCUUAUUCAUAAUUCUCAGUGUAUCAGUCAUAAAUGAAAUAACAAGUGCAUUUAAGUCUGAGAUACGUGAAUGGAUGUAAUGCCGUUAUUAUGCAGUAUGUAUUGUUAAUUGUCAUUAAUAUUAGAUGAGCUGCAGAACCACCCCCAAGCACUACAUAAAAGACUCAAAAUAAGUUUAACACUUACUGUGUUGGGCACCCUAACAGAAGAGCUAUCUUAACUCAUUGAAUGUUAAGAUCUGCUGGUUUCAGGAGUCAAAAUGUAGAAAAAGAGGAGAAUUGUAAUAUGGUCAGAAACAGAGAAGCCUUUUCUAUGUAAAUUCAGACUUAUCUGAGGCUAACAGUUUUCCGAAGUGGUGGUGGGUAGCAGCAUGACAGCUGCUUGCCAUGACUGAUGCAGACUGGUAGGUUUCCAUUUUAGCUCUCUGUAGGUACUGUUUUCUUCCCCACUGUGUCGAAAGUGAUUUGUUUUGAGGCAAGAGUAGAAUAUAACAUAUAUCAAAUAUAGUUUUUAAAAUAAGAAUACCUGGUCUGGAUCCAGUUGAGCAGCACAGCAGAUAAACCUUAGAGUUUUUCUGUUCUUAAAUGACAGUUUCCAUGUGGAAAGAUCUAAACUUUCGUGGAAUCACUAUUAGUGAAGAAAAAUGUAGAAUCUGUAUAACAAGUAAUUCCCCAAUUCUUACUUUCAAAGUCAUAUCCAAGAAAGACAAUAUGUCAGAAUAGAAUGACUUUGGUCUAGGUGUUUUCACGUUGGCAAAAAUAAGGAGGAAAUUAUAUUAUUUUAAUAUCCAAAUUUAAAGGUUUGGAAAAUUUUGAAUAGUUAAUAUUAAGACUUUUGUUGCUGUUUUUUAUAUUUCAAGGAUUGAGUAUUCUGCAUUAAUCCAACAGUAUUCUAACAAAGAGAUUCUGGAAGUUUUUAAAAGAUGAUACCCUGUUUUAUAUUUUGAAUGUAGAGAGACUCUGAGAGAAUGUUCUGAGUUAUUAUACUUUUUAUUUUUUAAGAUUUAUUUUUAAGAAUAAAACAUUGACCUGAACAUUUUAGCCUAACCAAGGGACUUAAGUGGUAAAGGCUUGCAUUGUGUCUUCAUGUGAACUGAUCCGUUCAUUAUAUAUUAUGGGAAAAAUCAAAGAAAGUUUUUUAUAGAGAUAUGAAGAUAUUAUUUAGAGAGAUAUUUAUUGUGACAUUUUUUAAAACAUAUUUUUCUAUUUUCAAAAUAUUAUUUCUAGGCUAUAUUUUUAUUGGUGCUGUGCAAAUGAUUUUGCAGUUUUGAAAAUGAUAAAACUAGAUUGUAAGUGGGGUUCAGUGAGGACAUUCAUCAGACACGUAAGAGGUGCUGCAAUCAGGGUGAUGCCCAUCUUACUCAUCCUUGGGUGCCCUUGGUCCAACACCUCUCUAUACAAGACUGGUUCUCAGUAUUUUAAAUGGUACGGAAUUCUUUUUAAAAAGUAGAGAGAUUUUGAAAAGCAUAAAAAUCAUGCCUUUAUAAUCUUAGCAGCCAUCAGAUACACCUUGAUUUAUGUAGUAGUAAAUAUAACAAAUAUUUUAAUAAAUAGAAACACUGAUAAGGAAGAAAAAAGAACUAAUGUCUAUGUCUUCUGUAGUCAGCAAAAGUCUGGAUCCAUUUUGUUCUAUUUUGCGUUCCAUUGGCACACUUUGUGUUCAAAUUUCAGUGCAGUCCUUUCAAAAUACUCGCUAAGGGUUGCCUAAGUGUCUGCCUUACUUUCUGAUUUUCCUUUUCUGAGAGCAUGGUUAAGAACAUCUUAACCAUAUAGCUGUUGAAAAAAUCUGUUUAUUAAAUAGCAAGUUCACUUCUGUUUAUGUUUUGAGUUUAGAAAAUUUGACUUGAAAAUUUAGAUUAUUAAUGAAUUUAUUUUUAAAUAUUAAAGUCAAAUUUCAAAUCACCCAGUGUUGAAGAAUUUGCAGAUGUAUACAAUACUUUUUCUAAUUAUAUCUUUUCUAUCUCCAUGCCUGGCUUUUUCUAAUUAUAUCCUAGAGAAAAAGACUAAUGGUAUUUCAAAGCUGUAUAUUUGUGACGAGAUAAAGAAGAGUCUUAAAUAUCUUGUUUGGGAGAAUGCACAGGCCAGUCAGGAGACCCACCUCCUGUGCCCUGAGCUGCUGACUGAGACCCGACAGAUCAUGAAGUCUAGUAAAGGGCAGAGAAGGCCCUGAGCCAUCAGUUUACACUCGAAUGGUUGACUCCCCUUUGUGGUGUUUUUGAAGGCUGCUUAUAUCAACAGCUAAUGUGGAUUAGUGCAUAUGAUCUUGAAAAAGUCUUGACCAAGAAUCCUAAACUCCACCACUCCUCCCAUUCCAGCUUAACACUAUCAGAAUAAUAUCCAAAUUCCAGAUUCUUUUUUCCUUUUUUCUUUUUUUUCUUCCCUUUUUAAGAGAGACAGGGUCUUGCUCAGUCACCUAGGCUGGAGUGUAGUGGCGCAAUCGUUGCUCACUACAGCCUCCAACUCCCAGGCUCAAAUGAUCCUCCCACCUUGGCCUCCCAAAGUGCUAGGAGCACAGGCAUGAGCCACUGUGCCCAGCCUAGUUUCUUUUCUGUAUGCUUUUUUUACAAAACUGAGCCACAGAGGUUGACCACUUAGCCAAUUUGUUGCUAGAAGGGAGAAAAAAAUCUCCAACUAGCCUCCAGACAAAACAUACUCAAAUUCAAACAGCAGUUAGUUUUAAUUAACAUACCGAAGUAAUUUUAGACUUUCAGAUUUCUAUGCUGACUAGAACACUUUGCAGGCUGAAGCUGACAUUAUUACCAAAUACUUCAUUUAAGUAUUAAACGAAGUAUUAAAUGAAGUGUCAGGCUUCCAGUAUAUAUAGCAACGCUCUGAGAGACAAACUGGGCUCAUAUGACGGGGUUGCAUUUUAUUUUCUUAACAGGUCUUUUAAAUUGGGCAGUUCUGAAAUUCUGUUUGGUCAGUUCUAGAUGGUACGUCAUGUGAAUACAACCAAGCACUGUAGUUGAAAUUGUGUUAUGCCACUACUCAUAUGUUGUCUUAGGUACUAUGCAUAAUGUUAAUAGCUGAGAUGUUAAAGAAUUUGAAGUCUAAAAUAUAAAAGAUGAAUAUACCCAUAUUAAUCCUAUGUUAAGAUGCUCUGGAAAUAAAGGCCUUAUUCCCUUACAUAUGCGAUUUUUGUAAGAUAAUAUAUACACAGUAUAUUUUAAAUGUUUGUGUGGGUGGUCUAUGUAGUUACUCCCCAUACAACAAAGCUGACAAAAUUUUUAAUUUACACAAUGUAUUCUGCAUUUUCAAAUGUUUAUCUUGUGUAUAUAGCAAAGAAAUUAUCUUACUGAUAUGCGUUGACCAAAUCCCAUGGAGAAAAGACAUUUAGAUACAUCUCAUUUGAGGCUCCCCUUCCUUUCAUGUGUUUGAUUUUUUGGAAGGUGAUACAGUGUGUGGGUAACCAUGCAAAUGUUUAUGAAUAACUUUACUGAAGUGAUUCCAUCAGUAUUCUGUUCUAAUACUUGGAGAAUGACCUUCAUAUUUAUAUAUUUUAUUUCUUUGUUUCAACUAUACAGUGAUAAUUCAGGAAAUGUUUCUUUUUUUUUUUUUACAAAAACCAAUUUUUUAUUUGUAAAAUGUUUGUAAUAAUGUAAAGGUGAACAUGUUCAAUAAAAAUCAUAUAUUAAAA